rnacentral:rRNA from 1 species
UACGGAGGGUGCAAGCGUUAUCCGGAUUCACUGGGUUUAAAGGGUGCGUAGGCGGGCAGGUAAGUCCGUGGUGAAAUCUCUGAGCUUAACUCAGAAACUGCCAUGGAUACUAUUUGUCUUGAAUAUUGUGGAGGUAAGCGGAAUAUGUCAUGUAGCGGUGAAAUGCUUAGAUAUACAUAGAACACCAAUUGCGAAGGCAGCUUACUACACAGUUAUUGACGCUGAGGCACGAAAGCGUGGGGAUCAAACAGG